AGUGAACGCUGGCGGUAGGCCUAACACAUGCAAGUCGAACGGCAGCACAGUAAGAGCUUGCUCUUACGGGUGGCGAGUGACGGAAGGGUGAGGAAUACAUCGGAAUCUACUUUUUCGUGGGGGAUAACGUAGGGAAACUUACGCUAAUAUCGCAUACGACCUACGGGUGAAAGCAGGGGAACUUCGGACCUUGCGCGAUUGAAUGAGCCGAUGUCGGAUUAUAUAGUUGGCGGGGUAAAGGCCCACCACGGCGACGAUUCGUAGCUGGUCUGAGAGGAUGAUCGGCCACACUGGAACUGAGACACGGUCCAGACUCCUACGGGAGGCAGCAGUGGGGAAUAUUGGACAAUGGGCGCAAGCCUGAUCCAGCCAUACCGCGUGGGUGAAGAAGGCCUUCGGGUUGUAAAGCCCUUUUGUUGGGAAAGAAAAGCAGCAGGUUAAUACCCCGCUGUUCUGACGGUACCCAAAGAAUAAGCACCGGCUAACUUCGUG
rnacentral:rRNA from 1 species